rnacentral:tRNA from 1 species
GGGGUUGUAGCUCAGUGGUAGAGCACUUGCCUAGCAUGUAUGAGGCACUGGGUUCAACUCUCAGCACCA